rnacentral:misc_RNA from 1 species
UACGGAGGGUGCAAGCGUUAUCCGGAUUUACUGGGUUUAAAGGGUGCGUAGGCGGACCAACAAGUCAGUGGUGAAAGCUUCCCGCUUAACGGGAAAAUUGCCAUUGAUACUGCUGGUCUUGAGUUCAGUUGAGGUGGGCGGAAUGUAGCAUGUAGCGGUGAAAUGCAUAGAUAUGCUACAGAACACCGAUUGCGUAGGCAGCUCACUAAACUGUUACUGACGCUGAGGCACGAAAGCGUGGGGAGCGAACAGG